GAUGAACGCUGGCGGCGUGCCUAACACAUGCAAGUCGAGCGAUUCUCUUCGGAGAAGAGCGGCGGACGGGUGAGUAACGCGUGGGUAACCUGCCCUGUACACACGGAUAACAUACCGAAAGGUAUGCUAAUACGAGAUAAUAUGCUUUUAUCGCAUGGUAGAAGUAUCAAAGCUUCGGCGGUACAGGAUGGAUCCGCGUCUGAUUAGCUAGUUGGUAAGGUAACGGCUUACCAAGGCGACGAUCAGUAGCCGACCUGAGAGGGUGAUCGGCCACAUUGGAACUGAGACACGGUCCAAACUCCUACGGGAGGCAGCAGUGGGGAAUAUUGCACAAUGGGCGAAAGCCUGAUGCAGCAACGCCGCGUGAGCGAUGAAGGCCUUCGGGUCGUAAAGCUCUGUCCUCAAGGAAGAUAAUGACGGUACUUGAGGAGGAAGCCCCGGCUAACUACGUGCCAGCCGCCGCAGUAAAAC
rnacentral:rRNA from 1 species